ACAAGUAUGGAACGUGCGGAGUUGAAUAGCAAGACAACGAACUUUGAAUUUGCUGAUCAGUGCACUAGCUGACAGCAACAAUUGUGCAACUUCAAUUUACUAAAGAUACUUUACCAGAUUCUGUGAGCAAUGACUUUCUGAACAUUAACAAAUUCAACGAGCAGCAAUUUACAAGUCUGACUGAGAUUGUUUUCAAUUUCCUAUUGGAUCCAAAAGAGAUGACCAGGCUCUUGCAGCAGCUGAGUGAGUUUGCAGAGGAGAAUGGGAUGAGUGCAGGCCCUCUGAGAAACCUUAUGAAGAGUUUCAUGCUGCUUCCCUAUGCAACAUAAAAUGGACAAUGUUUAUUUGAACUCAAAACCAAGAUUGGAAGAAAAAAAUUCCAGGUGCCCUGAAGAAAAAUCUGACGGCAGACCAAGUCUAAGAGGACCUUCUGGCUUUAGAGUUGACCCUCCCCCGGUUUUACAACUACCUCCAUGAAAUGGAGAGGGCCAAAGCCAGUAUGGACUGCUUCAGCUGAGCUUUAUCACCAGUAACAUGAGAAUGUACUGAAUGUGUCCUUGAGGGACAGGAGGAAACAUGAAUGGAGUUGCCAGCGACAGUGGUUGACAUUGGGUCUGCCCGAAAUGGCAUACUGUUCCCAUUAUGGGACAAUACUUUUGAACGGGGGCAAAGUAGUGCACAAUAUAGUGAAUAGAGUGCAAUUUGGGACGUACAAUGAGUUCAAAAUAGAACAUACAGAAUCUGAAGGAAACGUCCAGAUUCUCACAUACCAUUAAACGAUUUCAAUAUUUUGUCUUUUGAAAUGUGCACAGUUGUUUUUCGCAGUAGAGAUUUUGUGUGCGUGAGAAACUCUUUGCGGGUGUGUUUUGAAUUGUAACCCAAUUACUUUAAUUCCAUUGGCUGUCACUACAAGUGAUGUGAGGCAUACAUGUAACUGUUUUUUUGUUGUUGCAAUCUAUAAUCAUUUGUAUCACAGAUUUCCUUCAGUUUAUUUUGUCUAUUUUAUUAAGUAUUCAGAUGUCAUAUUGGUCUGCUGCAGUGGCGUGCCGUGGGCCUGGGGCCUGGGCCUUCAGUGAGGUCCUACACAGUCCCACCCGAAUUAAUCCACCUCUUAUUACCAUCAUUAUGAUGCCAUGGCUCUAGACACUAUACAUUUAGAUAGGAAAACAGUAUAACCAAGUUGUGCGUCACCUUGAAAUUGAAAUUUUUAUUCAGAAAAUUGCAGGGGAAGAGUACAAUACAGUACAGUUCAACUAAUAGGCAAGAACAUAGUCGAGUGCAACAGAGUUAUAUUAAUAUUCUUCUUCUAUCCAUUUCUGGUCCACAAACUUUGAGCUUUAAGUUAAAAAAUAAAUAAAUACACUUCCUGUUUACCCAAAAA